GCGGUUUUGGUAAAGGAACCAUGCUGUUCCAACCAAUCAGAGAGCUUCUAGGACCCAGCGAAUAGACGAAUCAUUGCGCAUGGCGUUAGUCUACUAUCGAAACUCGUGACGGAAGGAUACGUUACACCGGUACAAAAUAUCGUUCGAUUGUCAGCAUGAUUUCGAGAUAUAAGAGCCAAUCGAAUUACGUAUACGAAAAUCAACUGGCCUAGUAUUUGUAUAGAAUACGAGGAAUUUGGAGGUCGAGUUUACAUUUGAUGUUUGUUGUCGAUCUCUCGACGAGCAUAUCCCUUCCAUACGAAUUUCGAUAAUCGAGCCGCGAGCCAUGUCAUUGUGUCUUUGAAAUUCGUGCCGAUUAGACGCUUCGAUUUGUAACAGAAGCUAAUUGUCGACAGCUCUAAAAAGGAUAAAAGGAUUCAAAUAUGGACGCCAUAAUGACUUGUAAAUUUCGACGCAAUAAAAUGGUGACUUUUUGAAGACAAGUGGUAACAUUUUUGUACGAAAAAUACGUACAUUUUUAUCUUCUUUUUAUUUGAUUGUCAAGUAAUUCAUAAUAUAUCGAUACAAUAAUUGUGAAUAUUAAAGUGGAAGAGAUUAAAUAAAUUAAAUUUUUAUUUCAAAUAUUUUUUUAAUUUUAAAUAGAUUAAAUUUAUUUUUUCAAUAACUUUCAAUUUAUAGAAACAGUUUUCAGAAUAAUAAUAGAAUAAUAACGUAGUUUCUUGAACAAAUGCCUGAUAGAAAAAAGAAAGAAAAUGUUGGAACGAUAUUUUCUUUUUUUUUUAUCCCACUUUUCCCUAUUUUGACCGCGCGCAAUGCGGUUAGUAGAAUCAGUGUUUUUUUCGUGACAGUAUUUUCAAUAUUCUUUAGAGCAAUAGCUCUAAUUUAAUUAUUAUAAUAUCUCGCGAAAGUAGAAUCAGUGUUUGUUCGCCGAUUGUAAUUCAAACGGACGGGUCAGUAGUCUUUUAUUUUAUUUUAUUUUUCUUUAAAUAUUCGUUUUCGGUAUAGGGUAGAGUCAGUGCAUCAAGAGAAUAAGGCGAUCAUCCAUCACGCGAAGAGGAGCUGAUGGACUACAAAGAUUUGAAAAACAUUUGCGACCGCGCGCAAUGCGGUUAAUAGAGUCAGUGUUUUUUUCGUGAAAAUAUUUUUAAUAUUUUUUAGAGCAGAACAGCUCUGAUUAAAUAUAAUUAGAAUGAUCAAACGCGAGAAUAGAAUCAGUGUUUGCUCGCCGAUUAUAACAUAAAACGGACGCGUUUAUUAGCUUCUUAUUUUUAUUUUUUUUAAAUUUAUAUAUAUAUAUAUUCGUUUUCGGUACAGGGUAGAGUCAGUGUAUGAAGAACAUAAGGCGAUCAUCCAUCACGCGAAGAGAUUUCUCCAAGCUUCUACCUGACUUCUGAGCAGCAGCAGUUCUUCGCAUCGAAUGGUGAGUCGCAUGCAUUUUGGUUCCUCUGGUCACUCAAUCAUGUCGUAGGACGAAAGGUUCGAAUCGACACGGGUGACUGGUUGUAUACGUAGAUUUUUGCACGAGCACAGUAACCACGAGUAUUUAUUAUAAUACUCGUGAGUAGUAACAUUUUUCUCGUUUCAUUUAUCAGAUCAGGAUAGGGUUUUCUUGCACAUCGCGUAUUUAUUGAGAUUAAUAUUGAUAAUUAAUUUUACAUUAUCAAAAUUUUAAUUAACAUGAUUGGUAAUUAGUUUGUACAUCUGUGGUUGAAAAUAUUAUAAUUUGCCACAAUCAGUGUAUUCAAUAUAUGAAUAUUUAUUUAUAAAUAAAAUUUUGAAUUUUGAAUAUCUUUGAGUAAAGAAAUCGGAUGUCCUCCGAUUUCGUUACAAUAAAAAUUUUAAUUAUUUUACAAUAAUAGUGCAUAUUAUCAUUGCUAGAUAAUUUUCAAUUUCGCUUAUUGCUUGUGUAUUGAACAAUGUAAUUAUUUUUCAAGUAAAAUUCAAAAUGUAAAAAUAGUGAAUAAUUUUAUUCUUUUCGUAUACAAGAAUGUAUAAAAAAUUUUAUGUGCAAGAAGACAUUUCGCGACAGGUAGAUUUCAAAAUCGAAGCAAUAAAUUUUUUUAAUACUUCUUUUUAGAAAAUUUGCUUUGAUUAAGAGAUCGCCUGAGGAUUGAUUGCAUUAAUAUUUCCUUUAGAGUCAAUUGUUUCUUAUUAU